rnacentral:rRNA from 1 species
UCCUACGGGGGGCAGCAGUGAGGAAUAUUGGUCAAUGGGAGAGAUCCUGAACCAGCCAAGCCGCGUGAGGGAAGACGGCCCUAUGGGUUGUAAACCUCUUUUGUCGGAGAACAAAACCCGGGACGUGUCCCGGACUGCGUGUAUCCGAAGAAAAAGCAUCGGCUAACUCCGUGCCAGCAGCCGCGGUAAUACGGAGGAUGCGAGCGUUAUCCGGAUUUAUUGGGUUUAAAGGGUGCGUAGGCGGUCUGUUAAGUCAGCGGUAAAAUUGCGGGGCUCAGCCCCGGCGAGCCGUUGAAACUGGCAGG